rnacentral:lncRNA from 10 species
UUGAAUUUGGUGUUCAAAUAGAAAAUAAAAGUGAGUUCUAUCAAAAGACACGAACUCUUAGUCUAUUGAGUCCCCAAAAUAAGGCUAAUGCCCUUUUCACUGUUUACCAUGUGUUUUGAUGCUAUGUAAAACCAGGCAAUAUUAUUUCUUAUCUAUGCAAAUGGAAUAGCAGUUUCUACUUUUGUCUAGGUCUCCUCAAGACUUAAUCUGUCGGGAAUUUUAUGUACCCAUGGUCGGCUUCAUCUGUCUUCCAGACAGAGUGAUAAAAAGUGGAAUCACAGCUAAUGGAGUCCCAUGCAGGUUGCUCUGCUCACAGGAAGACAUUAGGAGGAGAGUGGAUCACUUAAUCUUUCAUCGAGGUAAGAUCUCUUCUAUUUGUGCUAUGAAAAUGGGUCCACAUCAGACUGUUCACCGUAGGCAGUGCCUACUGCAUAGAAAGAGCUUAAUAAAUAUUGUAAACUGAAUGAGGAAAUGGAUGAAUGGAAAACAAUUCAACCCCAAGAAGGUUACCCCAGAGAGCCUAUACAAAUCAAAUUGUAAAAAUUUUCACCUUGCCUGAUUCUGUGUGGAC